rnacentral:lncRNA from 1 species
GGAAAUGAGGCAUCUCAGCAACAACCCGGGUAAAGAAAACUGAAGGAAAAUGUAGGUUUUUUUCUAAUCCCUCACCGCCAUUUGAGCAGCGCGCACAGAGUAAGAAAACCUUAAUCUCGCUUUAACCACUGACUGCGUAAAAGAGACUUCAUUGGAGGGGUCUACCUGAGAUCAGAGCCUCAGAGCUAUCAUUUCUUACUCCAAAUCUCAGCUUCUCAUGAAUGUUCUCCUGGAAACUGCUGCGUGCUCACAUAAUUCAUCUUGUGGAUUGAGGCCAUAAGUAUUAACAAAUUAGCUGCAAUCAAAUUUGGCACUUUAAAAUUCCAUCUAUCCUCUUCAGGGCUUGCUGAGUCAGAGCUCAUCAAGUGAUAAAGGUCAGUUCAGGAGAUAUGAACUAAAUUAUAAUUUUCAGAUUAAGGGAAAAAUAUUUAUGAA